rnacentral:rRNA from 1 species
AGCAGCCGCGGUAAUUCCAGCUCCAAUAGCGUAUAUUAAAGUUGUUGCAGUUAAAAAGCUCGUAGUUGAAUUUCGGGAUCAGUUGGUCGGUCGUGCCUCGGUACGUACUGGUCAAAUUGAUUCCUACCUUCUGACGAACCACGAUGUCAUUAAUUUGGUGUCGCGGGAAAUCAGGACUGUUACUUUGAAAAAAAUUAGAGUGUUUAAAGCAGGCUCGCGCUUGAAUACAUUAGCAUGGAAUAAUGAAAUAGGACGUUUGAUUCUAUUUUGUUGGUUUCUGGGAUCGACGUAAUGAUUAAUAGGGAUAGUUGGGGGCAUUAGUAUUCAAUUGUCAGAGGUGAAAAUUCUUGGAUUUAUUGAAGACUAACUACUGCGAAAGCAUUUGCCAAGGAUGUUUUCAUUAAUCAAGAACGAAAGCUAGGGAUCGAAGACGAUCAGAUACCGUCGUAGUCUUAACCAUAAACUAUGCCGACUAGGGAUCGGAUGAUGUUUAAUUUUUUUAAUGUACUCAUUCGGCGCC